UGAAAUCCUGGCCCCUUUGAAAUCAAUGACAAAACUUCCAUUGCCUUCAUAAGGCCAAUAGUUCACUCCUGGUGUUUGGCUCCAGCCUGAAAGCUGAGCAGGAAAAUAUUAUUUCUUUGUCAUGGGCUGACCAUUAUCUUUUUUAUUCUGUCAGGGCAAUGAACCUUUUUUGCUGGUUCUGUUUUCAGACCACCAUGAGGGAGAAUAUUGUUCAGCUGAAUGACUGCUCUAUCAGUGGCGUGGAGAGAUGAAGAAGUUUCCUGCCAACUGUAUUUACCUCCAGGCCAAGCAAUAAACUGGCUGGGAACAUUUUUUUGUUACUAGAGACUGUCCAAUGUACAUAGCAGAGGGGCAUUGCUGGCACAGGCAGCUUCCCUAUCACAUAAUAUUAACAUACACAGGUGGGUCCUCUGAGCACAAAGAAUUCCCACAUUGGACUCCCACCCCCUCAAAGGCCUCAUGGUGUGGUGACUGUCUAAUGGGGAAAGGCUGUGCACAGCUCCCUUGGAACCCAUCAAAACUGCACCAUAGAGAAGGAAGUCCUUCCCCAGGACUGGACAUGCUGCCUCCUCAGUGCUACCAGCCUAAGGACCUGACCCUGAUCUCUCAUAGUGGGGACAGCCCAGCCCAUCAUCUCUAAAGGAAACUUCAGUUUAAUGAGCUUUUCUGCAUUCUGCCUGGUUAGCUGAAAAAAUAGAAGCAGCUGAAUUUUGAGACACUAUAGCAGUUUUGAGUCACAAGUGAAAACAAACUCCAUAUCCUAUAGAGCCAUGAAUCCCUGGACAGGUACAACACGAGCAGCAUAGCCCCACCCACGUACUUCAGACUCAACUCGGAAGGACUUUCACGGGGCUCAAGGGUGCUUUCAUUUCCAUGGCCAUUCAGUGCUAGCGAUGUCUUGCUAGACUGCCUGCGAGAGCGAUUUUACUGCCAGUUCUGGUGGCAUCCUGCUUUCACACCAGAAGAACAUUAUGAUGCAGUAGAUGAGAACCACAUUUCCAAAGGACCUCAACAAGGUAGCACUAUGUGAAAGGGAUUUUGUGUAUGCGUAGGCAGCACAAUAGCAUGCUGCAGAGUAUAUUAAUCAUGGUAAUCAGGUAUCUCAUUUUAACCCCACAGUUCUGGGAGUACAGUAAACUGUAGGAACCAGGCACAGAAUUUAGACAGCUAACUGGCUGACUUUACAUGGACAAGCAAUAUUUACAAGUCAGAGAAUGUAGCCAUCUCUGUAUUGUCACUUGUGCCUACAUUUCACUUGCCCACAAAACUGCAGAGGACUCUAUUUAACUUAUUUGUCCUCUAUCGGCAUUGUGUCAGAACACUUCACAAUCGUUAAUAUAUUUUGUUUAACACCACCCCUGUGAGGUAUGGAAGUGCCAUUCCCCCCAUUUUACAGAUGGGGAACUGAGGCACAGAGACGCUAGGUGACUUGCUCACAGUCACACCAGGAGUCUGGUAGAGCAGGGAAUUGAAGCUGGAUCUUCAAGUCCAAGGCUAGUGCCCUAAUCGCUGGCCCGUCCUUCCUUUCUUGGAUGGGGCACAGUUGUGCACAUACAAAGUUAAGGGUGUCUUGAAAAUUAAUCUCACUGCAUAUUUUGUCUUAAAAUCCAAAAAACAGUUUCAUUUCCAUGGAUUAUUUAAGAUACUGCUUGAUAUCAUAAUCAAACACUUAUGUUGUCUUCUGGAGAGUGUGGAAAGGGCCUGUUAAGGCAAGAUCCUCUAUGGCCCUUAUGCAGUUGCGCAAUAGAGGCGAGUGUACGGAGCCCCCGACAUCAAAAAAAGACGGUAGAAGUGAAUGAUGGGAAAAAUAAAUGAACACACUAUAUGACUGCAGCUGGGCUUGUCCAAGAGAAGGUCUUUAAUUUCACUUGAGGACAGAACUUUCCAGAAACAGCUAACUCUUAACAUCAGUAACAUCAAGGAUUUUCACAUACAGUCAUAAAAUAUUUGGAAAUGUGCACAGAUGGCAGGGCAGAUAGUUCUCAAAUGGUUUCAAAAGUCAUGAGUUUUUUCUAGUACCAAUUACAUGCGUGUCUCAGGGAGGGCUUACCUUGGCUGUACAAAAACAGACACAGUGUCUGUCUCUCUGCCCAGAUUAGAAUGCAGACUCCAUUAAGGCAACAACUACCAUACUUAGGCACCUGAAAUGUAUACAAGGUGGAUUUAAAAAACCAUAUCUGUUCUCUGCAGCUAUGUGGCCUUGACAUUAAGACUAUGCAGAAGGUGUGGCUCAUGUUCCAGAUGCACAGACUGCCGUAUCUACAACCGGCUAAACUGUAAAACAACCUGGCAAGCUACUGUUCACCUGCAGUAAAAGGGGAGUAGGAGUUGCUAAACUAUAUAGGAAAAGGACUAGUCCUCAGUGUGAGGCAAGCCCCGUGUUUGCUUCUUUUGUUGCCUUAACACUUUUCUUGGCAUACCCGAUAACAUUUAGAGCCUUGCAAUCACAGACUGGGUUCUUCUGAGGAAAGUUACUGCCUCAUCUUUGCCCCCUGUUCCCGCUAGGUUACAAUAGAUUAAUGCCAUAAAGCAAGGAUCAGAUUUCAAAUUUCACAACUGCCUCAGCUCUUGUGCUAAGAUUCCUCCAGCCAGAGUGCCUAUGGCAUAAGGGGGUGGGGUGCUGGAGCCAGCAAGGCUGGGCCCAUGGUUGGAGGGGUGCUUUAUAGCCUUCAGAAACUGAUAGAUGGAUUUUAAAGAUUUCAAAGAGCUGACUUAGCAGCUUGUGUAGCUAACCUCACCUAGCUACGAACACACCUGACAUCCUGUUCCUGCUACAGAAUACUGUGCACUGCACAACUUCAUACUGAACACACAACCACUGCAACACACUGUUAGUUUUGAGAAUUUAAUGUCCUCCAGCCCCUUUGAAGUCUAAUUGUUUGUCAAGGGCUCACCAAAAAGAGGCAGGAAAUUCCCCUUCCAUUGUGUCCCAGUUCAUACUCUCAGGCCUGUUGCUUGACACCCCCAUGGAGGCUAUAAAUCAAUCUCAGAUUGCAAAUUAAGCAUACAGUAUAUCACUGCUGAUGUUAGCGAUAAAGGCAUCACUGCACCCUAACAGCCAACCUCCUGAGCUGAAAUCCAUGGCAACUCUUAAUACAGCCUGUCAGGUUUUCCACAGAGCUCUGUGUAUCCGUGGUAUAUUAUCGUCGCAAUCUCAGAAAGAAUGCAUGCUUGCACUCCUUGCUAUCUAAGGGGUAUAUUUGUCGUAAAAAUCCAAAAUGUAUUCUUCAGUCUUAAUCCAAAUUUUUGAUACAGCAGCAUAGCGGAGUUUGCUUGCAGAGACGUGAAGAGUAACAUCUUUGCCCAUGCAAGUCUGCCAAGAAAAAAACAGCCAGACAAUGAGAGAGCCUCCAGGGAAAAGGAGGAGGUGAAGAACUCUUAAAUCUAGAAUUUAACUAGUUAGGGAAAUGUGAGAAAGCAGAGGCCUUGAACAGAGAAAUUACAACACAUAGCAACAGCUGAAAUCAGAUGGGAACCUAUGGUUAUCAAAAACCUUUGUGAUUGAGUAAUCAGCAGUCUGAGGUCAGGAACAGAAACUAGACUGUAAUUUAUCAAUUUUCUAUCUCCUUUUUCAGUGUAAUUGUUAAUUAAAAUAAUCUCAACAACUUAACAGUCACCUGAAGAACAAACAUCCAAAAGAGUAGGAUGGGACUAGAGACACACCUCUGUCAUCAAAUACACCUAGACUUGCUAGAAUCACACUGGCACCACUGGGUUACCUCCAGGUGUGUCACAUUGGAAUUCCAGUAGAUCCCAGCCUGAUCCACUCCCAUCCUUGAGCCCCCGGGCUCACAGCCUGAGAAGCCCAGCUAAAUAUCUGUGUGCAGAUAGUAAGUGGCAAUUCUGACAUUAACUUGGAGGUUCCUUGUUAUUUAGCAAUCAGAUUAUUCAUAAAAACUCUCCAAUAUGUUUAAUAUAAUCAUUCUUCUGACUUUUAGAACUCCUUUCAUGCCAUGCUCUGAAAGCAUUUUGCAUCCAUUACAUCCAAAUGGUAAGUACAAGGAUGGAGCAGGACACAGCCAUUAAAGAAUUUUAAUGACAGAGCAUUUGAAUCUUGGCGUGCAGAAAAAUUAAUUCUUGUUUUCAGAAGCUAGUAAUAAGACUCCCACCUGUAUGAGGCCAGAAUAAAGCAAUCAAAAUUAGGGGACAUUUUUGAAAAAGAAAAAUUAGAACCAGAACAUUAGAAAUAUGCUGCCUUGCCCCCAGUGAAAUGUGUAUCUUUUGGAAUUGCAUUCACACAAUUCACAGUGUGCUGCUUGCAUCAGAGGAUGGAAUCUAGUCUAUUGUAGAUUAUGCUACUGCCAGCAGUUCAUCUCAAACUGAAUAUAACCUGCCUCCCACCAUAGACACAAAUACACAGCAGAUCAGUGGCAGUCAAACAGAAGCCUAAUGUGAAGUGGCAAUCUCUCGUAUGACUGGCGUCGGUUUGUGGGACCCCAGUGCAAAUCCUGGUUAGCUCUAUUGAACUUGAUGGUACUACUUUGGUUUUAUCCCAGUGUAACUGUGAGCAGAAUUUGGUGAACUGUUUAUUUUAGAUCCUGCAAACAGUAGUG